rnacentral:rRNA from 1 species
GAUGAACGCUGGCGGCGUGCUUAACACAUGCAAGUCGAACGGAAAGGCUCCUGCUUGCCGGGGUCCCCGAGUGGCGACCGGGUGAGUAAAACGUGGGUGAUCUGCCCUGCACUGCGGGAUAAGCCGGGGAAACUGGGCAUAAAACCGGAUAGUCCGAUGUUUUGGAUGCCUUGGUGAAAAGUUUUUUCGCUUGGGGAUGAGCUCCAGGCCUAUCGGCGUGUUGGGGGGGAAAUGUCGAACCAAGGGGUCGACGGGUAGCCGACCUGGGAGGGUGUACGGACACAUUGGGACUUGGAUGCGGCCCAGACUCCUCCGGGAGGCAGCAGUGGGGAAUAUUCCAAUAUGCGCGGAAGCCUGAUGCAGCGACGCCGCGUGGGGGAUGACGGCCUUCAGGUUGUAAACUCCUUUCGCUAGGGACGAAGCGCAAGUGACGGUACCUAGAGAAGAAGCACCGGCUAACUACGUG